rnacentral:snoRNA from 1 species
AAAUACUCACUACAGGGAUCAUCACUAUCAUUUGUUAUCAAAGGCAUUUUGUUUCUGUGAAAGUGUAAAGCUUGGGAAACCAUGAGGAGGAGGCGCAGUGCUGUCUCCUGAGUGUAAAGUGGACUCUUGGUAUUGCUUUGUUGAAGCUACCAUUUGCCAUUGAUGAUCCUUCUUCUCUUCUUUUGGUGAGUAAGAGGGAGCAGUCAGUCUAAGUGGU